rnacentral:rRNA from 1 species
UACGAAGGGGGCUAGCGUUGCUCGGAAUCACUGGGCGUAAAGCGCACGUAGGCGGAUUGUUAAGUCAGGGGUGAAAUCCUGGAGCUCAACUCCAGAACUGCCUUUGAUACUGGAGAGCUUGAGUCCGGGAGAGGUGAGUGGAACUCCGAGUGUAGAGGUGAAAUUCGUAGAUAUUCGGAAGAACACCAGUGGCGAAGGCGACUUACUGGACACAUAUUGACGCUGAGGUGCGAAAGCGUGGGGAGCAAACAGG